GGACUACUCGGGUUUCUAAUCCUGUUUGCUACCCACGCUUUCGAAUCUCAGUGUCAAUAUUAUGCCAGGAAGCUGCCUUCGCCAUCGGUAUUCCUCCAGAUCUCUACGCAUUUCACCGCUACACCUGGAAUUCUACUUCCCUCUCACAUAUUCUAGCACCACCAGUAUCACAUGCAGUUCCCAGGUUAAGCCCGGGGAUUUCACAUGUGACUUAAUGAGCCACCUACACUCGCUUUACGCCCAGUAAUUCCGAUUAACGCUCGCACCCUCUGUAUUACCGCGGCUGCUGGCAC
rnacentral:misc_RNA from 1 species